AGAGUUUGAUCAUGGCUCAGGACGAACGCUGGCGGCGUGCUUAACACAUGCAAGUCGAGCGAUGAAACACCUUCGGGUGUGAAUUAGCGGCGAACGGGUGAGGAACACGUGAAGAAUCUGCCUUCAACUCUGGGAUAACUCCGGGAAACCGGGGCUAAUACCGGAUAUGAGCCUCGAUCGCAUGAUUGGGGCUGGAAAGUUUUUCGGUUGAAGAUGACUUCGCGGCCUAUCAGCUUGUUGGUGAGGUAGUGGCUCACCAAGGCGACGACGGGUAGCCGGCCUGAGAGGGCGACCGGCCACACUGGGACUGAGACACGGCCCAGACUCCUACGGGAGGCAGCAGUGGGGAAUAUUGGGCAAUGGAGGAAACUCUGACCCAGCGACGCCGCGUGAGGGAUGAAGGCCUUCGGGUUGUAAACCUCUUUCAGUAGGGAAGAAGCGAAAGUGACGGUACCUACAGAAGAAGCACCGGCUAACUAUGUGCCAGCAGCCGCGGUAAUACAUAGGGUGCAAGCGUUGUCCGGAAUUAUUGGGCGUAAAGAGCUCGUAGGUGGUUCGAUACGUCGGAUGUGAAAAUCAGGGGCUCAACCCCUGACCUGCAUCCGAUCGGUCGAGCUAGAGUUUGGUAGGGGAGACUGGAAUCCCUGGUGUAGCGGUGGAAUGCGCAGAUAUAGGAGGAAC
rnacentral:rRNA from 1 species